UGCAAAGCUAGUCAUCUCUCAGGAAGCACUUUCUAUUUCCAAAACUUUGGUUUCAUCAGUACCUGGAGCAAAGCUUCUGGCAGAAACACAAAUCCUCAUCAGGGGAGAGGCACAGGAUCAAUUCACGGUUAUAAACUGGACUCCUGCUCCGACGGGUAGCAGCCAUCACCUUUGCCCAAUUCUCAUAAUUCUGAAGGGUCACCAAGGAGUUGCUACCAGCCACUGUACUUAAAGUGGUGUCACAGGAUUACAAAAUAGAAGAAAGUCUUUCUUCUCUGACUAAUAUGUUAGUGCUCUAGUAAGCAUCAAAGAUGAAAGACACGCAAUGUGAGCCUGCUUUGGCCAACACAAAGUACUUACAGAAUUUUCAGGCCUACUCCCAGCCCUGGAGACAAAUUUCCCAUCAUUCUUCAUUACAGGAGUAAUCAUCCUCAUAGGGCAGUAAUAGCUUUUUUUUUUUUUUUUAGACGGAGUCUCGCUCUAUCACCCAAGCUUGUAAGAAGUGCCUUUCACCUCCUGCCAUGAUUCUGAGGCCUCCCCAGCCAUGUGGAACUGGUUCCCAGUGCCGAUUCCGACACUGUGAAGAAGCCCUUGGCAGUGACAC
rnacentral:sRNA from 1 species